AGAGUUUGAUCAUGGCUCAGGAUGAACGCUGGCGGCGUGCCUAAUACAUGCAAGUCGAGCGAGGCCCUUCGGGGCCUAGCGGCGGACGGGUGAGUAACACGUGGGUAACCUGCCUGUAAGACUGGGAUAACUUCGGGAAACCGAAGCUAAUACCGGAUAAUUUCGAGCAUCGCAUGAUGCUUGAUGGAAAGACGGCUUCGGCUGUCGCUUACAGAUGGACCCGCGUCGCAUUAGCUAGUUGGUGAGGUAACGGCUCACCAAGGCGACGAUGCGUAGCCGACCUGAGAGGGUGAUCGGCCACACUGGGACUGAGACACGGCCCAGACUCCUACGGGAGGCAGCAGUAGGGAAUCUUCGGCAAUGGGCGAAAGCCUGACCGAGCAACGCCGCGUGAGCGAUGAAGGCCUUCGGGUCGUAAAGCUCUGUUGUUAAGGAAGAACAAGUACGAGAGUAACUGCUCGUACCUUGACGGUACUUAACGAGAAAGCCACGGCUAACUACGUGCCAGCAGCCGCGGUAAUACGUAGGUGGCGAGCGUUAUCCGGAAUUAUUGGGCGUAAAGCGCGCGCAGGCGGUUUCUUAAGUCUGAUGUGAAAGCCCACGGCUCAACCGUGGAGGGUCAUUGGAAACUGGGAAACUUGAGUACAGAAGAGGAAAGCGGAAUUCCACGUAGCGGUGAAAUGCGUAGAGAUGUGGAGGAACACCAGUGGCGAAGGCGGCUUUCUGGUCUGUAACUGACGCUGAGGCGCGAAAGCGUGGGGAGCAAAAGGGAUUAGAUACCCUAGUAGUCC
rnacentral:rRNA from 1 species